AGCUUUCUGUAAAGUUUAGAAAUAUAAAAACAAAAGAGUUUAACAAAAUGUUUAUAUUUAGAAGUCAUGUGUUGUUACAACAUGUAGCCUAAUAAAAACUAAUCUAUAACCAAUUAGCUCUGAACUCAUAUAGAAAUAGUGGUUAGUUAGAAAGAAAAGAAGUAGCAGUCAGAAGUAUAGUCUAAAAAUAGUUAAUGACUUUUCUAUCAUGGCAUAGUUUGCAAUUCUAACGGCCUAGGGAUUGCAGCACAGUACUUCUUUAUACUGCCAAAUACUUAUCUUGGCACUGCCACCAGUUGACAGGAAGCCACACGCAUGCCACCUUGAUAGCCGGUAUAAGAGAGGGGAAAAAAACCUUGCAUGGUUGUUGGACUGACGAUGGCAAGAUGGAAAUUUGGAAUGUUUUUUAAUAAAGAAUUCCCUGUUCUCCACAAUGGAUGUCUUGAAUGAUAAGAGAGGGAACAGAGGGUGGCGAGAGCGGAGGCCAUAGAGGAGGAGUAAAAAGAGGAGUAAAAUCAGCCUUUGCCCUGCAGUUUGGCCUAGAAUUGCCAAUUCCCAGGGCCUGGCAAAGAAAUGAAACCUCAUCAUGACCAAAUGGUGGCACUGUAGCCUCACAAAUGAAGACCCGCCUUCUCAUGGCCAGGCUGUCGGACUGAUUCCAAUCCAAGGGCCCGGUGUCACCCUGCUGUGGCUGUGCAAAACAUCCCUGCCUCCUCCACCUACAUCCAUGACCCCCUCUGAUAAGCUUGGAGUUCAUCCCUUUCACUGAUUAGUUUGCUGGCAGAUUGAAUGCCCAUGUCUACAGCCCCGUGUCACCCGGGCUGGCUCUACCUGUGUGUGGUUGGAUCAGCAGGUGGCUGGCACACUGUCCAGCGUGAUACUGAAACCAUUAUUUAUACAUAACAGUUCUCUGUGUGCUCAGAAAAGCCAUGUUUCCCACCUCAGGGAGAUGUAUGUAUAGAGGAUAGAGGAAAUGCUUGGUUAUUUCAUAAUUCCAGAAAAAUAUAUUACGCCUCCAUUUAUGCUGGAGAUUUACUGUAUUGGAAUAAUUUGCAAAAAAAAAUGUUCAGUGUGAUUGUAGGAAAUUCUGUGUGAGUGAGGAUCCUGAAAAUGUGAGGUCAUUAGUAACUUCUCUGCCAAAAUCCCCCCUCUUCAGUUCACUGUGUGUGUGUGUGUGUGUGUGUGUGUGUGUGUGUGUGUGUGUGUGUGUGUGUGUGUGUGUGUGUGUGUGUGUGUGUGUUUUGUGUGAAUUCACAUGUGUUUGUUUGUUUACCGUGCCACCGCUGGCCCAAGUUGGAGCCACAGGAGUGUGAAAUAACAAGCACAAGAGGGAUUUCACGCCUUUACAGAGCUGAAAAGGACACAUUCAUGUCAAAAGCAUCAUCGGAGGCAGGAUGCUGAAAUGUGAAGGACGGGGGUAAACACGGAAGGAUGUGGGCUGCUGGAAACCGACAUGAAAGAGAGAAGUCGAAACCCACUUUGCCAGUCUGCGGGCCAGAAGACAAUCAGACCAGAAGGGUCAUUUUCUGCAAGAGCUCACCUCCCUCCUCCAAGCCUCGCCGCUGACAGGCUCACGCUCGGCAGGAACCCUAAAUUAACACUUGACGUCUGCGAGGCUCAGCCCUGAUGAGGCCGCAGAGAGACAAAAUGUCAGAAAACAAACACUCCAUCAUUUUUGCUUCAUUUCCUCCACCGCUGGAGAAACACACUCACCUGGAGGGCUUGAGAGGGCUGCGGUGACAUUCACUCCCCUAUCUGUUGCCGUGGAUCAGCCCUGGUGCCUUUGGGCCAAGGCAAGAGGUUUACACCAAAAAAAAAUGAAUGAAAGGAUGCUGAGUAGGAACUGGUAAUUAAGUAAUCGUUAUCAAGAAGCAACUGAAGGGAGAAUGAAAUCGUUUGACACCUGUUGGGUUUACAUCAAUUAGCUGAACUCCUUUCUCUUUAUUUGAACACAUCAAGAGAGAAAUUGGCCAAUGAAUGUGGUGUGUUCAAAAUGUCUUUGUAAAGUCAACGUGUGCAAAAUACAAAUCCAUUUUUGUUUUUGAAAUUUUUUGCAAAAAAAUAUAUUUCUUUAUUUCCCUGCAUUUGGAUUGCAUUCACCUCCAUUCUGCCAUUACAAAGUAAAUUAUUUGUUUUCCUGAGCGCAUCAACAACAACCCUUGUAAUUAUUCCUCACUGGGGAUGUGCACAACACUAGGACUCAACACUGUAGAGUAGUAUGAUACUAUUUGAAGCCUACUUCAAACACAGUGCCCCCAGCGAGUUACGAUAGCGCCAGUGUCUAUUUUAUUAUUUGCUUUAUCUCUUUGUUGCGUGAGAGUUUAUUUGUUUACAUGAGAGGGAUUGGAGGUUUGGUGAUCUGAGCAAAUUGCAGCAGAAAGUACUUCAGAUGGGAAUGACUGUAAUUAGCAUGCUCUUAAAUGUGGAACGCUCUCCUAAUGUUUUUGUUUACGUGGGGCAGCUGAUCUGUGACUCGGUGCGGGGGCGGCCCACAGGCAGGUUAAAAUCACUUGUCAUGCCAGAGAUCAUCAUUAUGAGCUUACAAUUGGUCAGUGUUGAGGAACAAUCAAUGCAGCGCCAGGUAGACACUCUACAACCAGCCUAUGCCGUGAGAUUUUGUGUGUAAUUUUGUAGUUAUAGUUGUGUUUUCCAGAGUGGAUAAUUUGAAAAUACGAGUGUGUUUAUGCUUGUAUGUGGUCAUGCUCAUGUUUUGGCUCAUAUUUUUUCAAUUUUUUUUUUUAAAGCUUACUGAACUUCCUUUCCUUAAUCUCUGAAUCUACACUGAAGCAUAUGUUCCAUGACACUCAUUAAGAGUCAAUUAAGAAUAUGCUGGUGUGCCCAGUUAUUCAGUCAGUGAUUAUAUUUCACUGGAGGAUAAUAUCCAGGUAAAUUAAGAUUUCAUUUAAUUCAGCCCUGGUUGUCGCUGCAUCUCCAUUUCACAUCAUGGAACAAUUGAGAUCUUAUCAUGGAUUAAAGUGGGGGAUAUUACACCUAAUUUAAAAUAUGCACAUCUACAACAGCACGCACAGCUUAAGCAUACGCCAUGAUACUGUAAAAAAGAAAAAAAGAAAAAUGAGCGAAACAAUUAAGCACCUUAGGCACAAAACUCAAAAGGCUGUGAGAUACAAUUCAUUAAAUUGGCAGAGGAAUUCAGGGCGGAAACACUGCCUUAAAGAGUUCUUGAGAAAGAUGAAGGGAGGCAGCUAUAGAGAGAGACACGAAAGGAGCAAAAAGGAGACAGGAAGUUGGGAAACAUAGCAAAGGGGGUGUCAUGGUAGUCAGGUGACAGUGCGACAAAGUUGUGCUUGUUUAAAAUGGAAAUCUUCCCAGACUUCCUCCCUCUCUCCCUCUCUUCACCCCCCUAGAGCCCAUUGCAAACGCUAAGCUCCGGCAUCUGAAGUGGCAACACUUGAGAUGGUGAAAGUGACAACAUCUUUACAUAAGCUGAGGGGCUAAAGUGAAAGUCAGUGCGAACCCCCCAACAAACCUUUCCACCCACAUCCUUCACCCAUGCUCUGUCAUCCUUCUUACGCCCCCCCACCCCCACGCCUGGGCCACACAGUGGACAUUCAACCUGCCUGCUACAAUGUAAAAGUUGGUGGUAGAGAGCAGGGAUGAGACUACCCAUGAUUAAAAAAGUGAAAAGAAAAGGUGAAAAGUUGAAAAGAAAGGAGGAAUCUGUCUCCGCCUCCUCUCUUUCUAUGUUUCGCUGUCAUCGUUGGUCCUUCCUUCCACUUCCAGUCACAGGUGCCUCCAAACAGAACUGGAAGCAUGUAAUCCGCCCAAAUCCAGCCUCUUCCGAGGAGUGUAAAACCAGGAAUGUUCUGUGGGGGUCACUGGAUUAGACAGAAUUCAUGGUGGUAGCUUGGCUUGAGAAGCAGAAUUAGCGGAGUAGGGAAAAAAGGGAGAGGAGACUGAACUGGUUUUGUAUUAAAAUGAGCUUACCAGGUGGUCUCCCUCCCAAAAGUGGACACAGUGUGUCAAGUAAUCUCAAAAGCCCCCGGGUGUUUGUUGCUCAUUGGCCAGAGGCCUGGUAAAAAGAGAGAGCGAGGGACUGAGAGAAAGCGAGAGAAAGAAGGGGGGGCUGGCUAGGGAGGUGGCACUGAUGAGGCCAUUGAGUCCUCAGUGAAAUGUCUGUCAGGCUUGGUUUACCACAACCACAGCAGUGAUUAGGCCCCUUUUGAUGACAGGUUUAGUUUUCUGUCCAUUGGCAAGAAAGUGAGAAUGGACAAG